CCACGGCGGAGGCUGGGGCCAUGGCGGCGGCUGG
rfam:Methylosinus sp. R-45379 contig_58, whole genome shotgun sequence.